rnacentral:tRNA from 1 species
UAGUUAAAUUCUACUAUUAAGGG